UCUCAUGAUGUGACUCUCUAGAGGAAAGCGCUUACUGUUGGCUAAAAAAAUAGGAAGCGCUUCUCUUUAGAGUGUUACGCUUUGAGA
rfam:Macaca mulatta chromosome 19, whole genome shotgun sequence.